UUGCGUUAACUUUGCGCGCGACGCGUCACGGUUGUUUUGCAUGAACUUCCGAACUCGCGGAGCGGCGGCUCGCUACAAAGUAUCGCUGUUACAAUGUUACAUGUUUACACACACACAUGCAUAACCAGGAUGACUUUGUGUUAAAAAAUAGUUUCUCAGAUUUCACUUCUAUUAAAUUCAUGAACUUCAGCAGAUAUGAACUGCAAGCAUACGUUUGACUAAUAUUAAAACCUGGCAUAAAAAAUACAGUGGCAUUAUAGUGCAGUGAAAGUAUUUAAAAUUCAAAACGCCUCCAGGUCCUGUAGGCCUGUCUGCAUCUGUGGGAAUGAGAAGGUUUCCGGAAUGCAGCCUGCUUUGCCCACUGGCCUACUGGUUACACACAGGGAAUAAUGCUACAUAGCCUACUAUAGAUCCUACUGGUUAUACACAGGGAAUAAAGCUACAUGCUAUAGAUCCCACUCACUAUUAUUAUAACUUUUUUUAUUAAAGGUUUCAUCAAGUAGCCCGUAACUAGUGUGUUGGUAGGCCUAAAAAGCUAUACUGUUGUGGCAUUCAAGGGUUUACUAACAUGUCAGUUUAAACCGGUAUUGGUUCAUCUCUUUACACAGAUAUGAGAACUACUUUUCCAACUAUCACCAAUGAUAAUGCACUGCACCAAAUGAAUAGAGUGUACAGACUAAUUUCUAAAAUAGUGUUGAAAACUACAGAGCAACUUCUACAUUUCCUUGUCUUUGAUCAGAGGUUUUUAACUAAAACAUUGUGUAGCUUUGAAUGCAUUCGUCCACAGUUCGGGACAGUGAGGUCGGGGAAGGUGUUAGUCCGGUGGAUGGUGACACCAGGGCCCAUGCAGUGACUGGUUAAGAAGUGUGUGCUGCAGGGUGGAACUUGCUCCAUAGUCCCACCGCCGUUACAUAAUGCUGGAUUUGCUUCUCCUAGUAAACACAGGGCUGCUCGCUGGUGGGCCUCAAUGCUGCCUGCACCACCUCUCACCAAAUCAGACAAGUGCAGUAAUAAAACUCUGAGUAACGUGUACUGCUGCUUUCAAGAGCCGCCCUGUCUGAGUAUUAAGGGGUGUUUAAAGGUGCCAUGACAUGCUAUUUUAUGGAUGCUUUAAUAUAGGUAUUAGUGGGCCACUAACACAGUAUUCAAACUAAAAGACGUUCCCGAAAUUCAGCCGUGGUGCAGAGUUACAGCCACUCCGAGCCAGUCGCAUAUUGAGGUUCCCCCAAAUGCGCUGUUUUGGUGUCUGUAGCUAUAAUGCAAAUGAGGAGGAGCGAGGCGGGUCAAGGAGGAGGGUGGGGGUGUGGCCCUGAGCAGCUUGCAGCCACGGUACCAUGCGCUCUGUUUACAGUGGAUGUAUCGCAAUGGCGAGGAGCACACAGCCUUUAGCCGUGUUCUGUAAAUAUUCUAGAACACACGGGAGUCCUGGAGCUCUAUAUCUAAAUAAUAUCAUAGCCUACAUAGAUAUAUAUAUCAUAUAAUAUAUAUUAUCGUUUGAAUCUCAAACGACCGCGUUGGGUUCUCCGACGUUCCUGGUUCUUCCACGUCCACAUCAAUCUGAAGUAGACUGAACCCCAACAUGGAGGAGAAAGGGAUUGUUGCCGGGCAGCGCUUAGGCACCUCCGCCUCCUGCAGCGCCGAGGCGGUGGUCCCUCGGCAGCGGGAAGCGUGGCUCAAGCGGGAGAUAUUCGCCGUUAACAAUCCCUUUUUCCUCCAUGUCGUGGCUCAUGUUCUUGAGGGAGUCAAAGCCAAAGUUCCUUUCCCCCAAUUCAUUCAACCAUGGCUGAGAUAACCCCCACUACGAGUCUCGUUGUAGAAAUACCAGAGACGAGAGUCCGACGUACUUAUGCGCCAUAACACCAAAAGCAGAACGUUAUCCAAAUAACAAGGAAGUGUACAACACUUGCGUUACAGUCCUGGAGCUCUAUAUCUAAAUUAUAUCAUAAUACAUAGAUAUCUAUAUCAUAUAAUACAUAUUAUCCCAGCCAAAAGCUGUGUGCGCCUCCAGACGAUAUUCUGAAUCACAAACGACUUCGUCGGCUCCGACGUCUCUGGUUCUUCCACUUUCACAUCAAUCUGAAGUAGACUGAACCGCACGCUGCCUGCUGCCUGCUGCCGGCUGCCCGCUGCCGGGUGGUGGUGCCUCGCGGCAACCGGCGGCAUGUUGCAGUUCAUGUACUUCAGGGAGUCAAAGCCAAAGUUCCUUUCCCCCAAUUCCUUCUCAACCAUGGCUGAGAUAUCCCCCACCACAGUCUUGUUGUGGAAAUACAAGAGACGUCAAAGAACCGACAAGAAACACUUGCAUUGCAGUGUGUGUAUUCACACACACACACACACACACACACACACACACACACACACACACACACACACACACACACAUGUGGCGCUCGCACGGUCGUGUCUCAUUGGCGGGCCAACGUCUCUGGGCGGGCCAGGCAGAGUAAGGGGAGGAGCUUAGAUGCUAUGUGACGACAUAAGAAACCACAUUCAAAAUCAGCGCGCUUGAGCCUUAGUUUUUUUCAAAGGAGAGCAGAACACCUAGUGCUCGUUUUACACCGAACGCAAGUUUUAGCCACUGGGGGACCAUAGGCAGGCUAGGGGAACUCAUAUUUAUGUUAGAAAACCUCAUAAAGUGAGAUUUUC